rnacentral:sRNA from 1 species
UGACUCUUUAUGUUUGUAUCUUCUAACAAGGAAACACUACUUAGGCCUUUAGGAUAAGGUUGAGGUUUACGUUCUUAUACUCAAUCAUACACAUGACAUACAGUCAUAUUCGACUCCAAAACAAUAACCAAGCCUCUUCUUGCUUCUCAAAGCUUUGAUGGUUUAGCCGAAGUCCAUAUGAGUCUUUGUGUUUGUAUCUUCUAACAAGGAAACACAACUUAGGCUUUUAGGAUAUGGUUGCGGUUUAAGUUCUUAUACUCAAUCAUACACAUGACAUCAUGUCAUAUUCGACUCCAAAACACUAAUCAAGCUUCUUCUUGCUUCUCAAACCUUUGAUGGUUUAGCCGAAGUCCUUAUGAGUCUUUGUGUUUGUAUCUUCUAACAACGAAACACUACUUAGGCUUUUAGGAUAAGAUUGCGGUUUAAGUUCUUAUACUCAAUCAUACACUUGACAUCAAGUCAUAUUCGACUCCAAAACUCUAACCAAGCUUCUUCUUGCUUCUCAACGCUUUGAUGGUUUAGCCGAAGUCCAUAUGUCUUUGUCUUUGUAUCUUCUAAGAAGGAAACACUACUUAGGCUUUUAGGAUAAGGUUGCGAUUUAAGUUCUUAUACUCAAUCAUACACAUGACAUCAAGUUAUAUUCGACUCCAAAACACUAACCAAGCUUCUUUUUGCUUCUCAAAGCUUUGAUGGUUUAGCCAAAGUCUAUAUGAGUCUUUAGCUUUGUAUCUUCUAACAAGGAAACACUACUUAUGCCUUUAGGAUAAGGUUGCGGUUUAAGAUCUUAUACUCAAUCAUACACAUGACAUCAAGUCAUAUUCGACUCCAAAACAAUCACCAAGCUUCUUCUUGCUUCUCAAAGCUUUGAUGGUUUAGCCGAAGUCCAUAUGAGUCUUUGUCUUUGUAUCUUCUAACAAGGAAACACUACUUAGGCUUUUAAGAUAACAUUGCGGUUUUAAGUUCUUAUACUCAAUAAUACACAUGACAUCAAGUCAUAUUCGACUCCAAAACACUAACCAAGCUUCUUCUUGCUUCUCAAAGCUUUGAUGGUUAAGCCAAAUUCCAAAUGAGUCUUUAUCUUUGUAUCUUCUAACAAGGAAACACUACUUAGGCUUUUAAGAUAAGGUUGCAGUUUAAGUUCUUAUACUCAAUCAUACACAUGACAUCAAGUUAUAUUCGACUCCAAAACACUAAUCAAGCUUCUUCUUCUUGCUUCUCAAAGCUUUGAUGGUUUAGCCAAAGUCCAUAUGAGUCUUUGUCUUUGUAUCUUCGAACAACGGAACAGUACUUAGGCUUUUAGGAUAAGAUUGUGGUUUAAGUUCUUAUACUCAAUCAUACACAUGAGAUCAAGUCAUAUUCGAGUCCAAAACACUAACCAAGCUUCUUCUUGCUUCUCAAAGCUUUGUUGGUUUAGCCAAAGUCCAGAUGAGUCUUUAUCUUUGUAUCUUCUAACAAGAAAACACUACUUAGGCUUUUAGGAUAAGCUUGCGGUUUAAGUUCGUAUACUCAAUCAUACACAUGACAUCAAGUCAUAUUCGACUCCAAAACACUAACCAAGCUUCUUCUUGCACCUCAAAGCUUUGUUGGUUUAGCCAAAGUCCAUAUAAGUCUUUGUCUUUGUAUCUACUAACAAGGAAACAUUACUUAGGCUUUUAUGAUAAGAUUGCGGUUUAAGUUCUUAUACUCAAUCAUACACAUGAGAUCAAGUCAUAUUCGACUCCAAAACAAUAACCAAGCUUCUUUUUGCUUCUCAAAGCUUUGAUGGUAGCCAAAGUCCAUAUGAAUCUUUGUCUUUGUAUCUUCUAACAAGGAAACACUACUUAGGCAUUUAGGAUAAGGUUGCGGUUUAAGUUCUUAUAGUCAAUCAUACAUAUGACAUCAAGUCAUAUUCGACUCCAAACCACUAACCAAGCUUCUUCUUGCUUCUCAAAGCUUUGAUGGUUUAGCCGAAGUCCAUAUGAGUCUUUGUCUUUGUAUCUUCUAACAAGGAAACACUACUUAGGCUUUUAGGAUAAGAUUGCGGUUUAAGUUCUUAUACUCAAUCAUACACAUGACAUCAAGUUAUAUUCGACUCCAAAACACUAACCAAGUUUCUUCUUGCUUCUCAAAGCUUUGAUGGUUUGCCAAAACUCCAUAUGACUCUUUAUCUUUGUAUCUUCUAACAAGGAAACACUACUUAGGCCUUUAGGAUAAGGUUGAGGUUUACGUUCUUAUACUCAAUCAUACACAUGACAUACAGUCAUAUUCGACUCCAAAACAAUAACCAAGCCUCUUCUUGCUUCUCAAAGCUUUGAUGGUUUAGCCGAAGUCCAUAUGAGUCUUUGUGUUUGUAUCUUCUAACAAGGAAACACAACUUAGGCUUUUAGGAUAUGGUUGCGGUUUAAGUUCUUAUACUCAAUCAUACACAUGACAUCAUGUCAUAUUCGACUCCAAAACACUAAUCAAGCUUCUUCUUGCUUCUCAAACCUUUGAUGGUUUAGCCGAAGUCCUUAUGAGUCUUUGUGUUUGUAUCUUCUAACAAGGAAACACUACUUAGGCUUUUAGGAUAAGGUUGCGGUUUAAGUUCUUAUACUCAAUCAUACACAUGACAUCAGGUUAUAUUCGACUCCAAAACACUAACCAAGCUUCUUCUUGCUUCUCAAAGCUUUGAUGGUUUGCCAAAACUCCAUAUGACUCUUUAUCUUUGUAUCUUCUAACAAGGAAACACUACUUAGGCCUUUAGGAUAAGAUUGAGGUUUACGUUCUUAUACUCAAUCAUACACAUGACAUACAGUCAUAUUCGACUCCAAAACAAUAACCAAGCCUCUUCUUGCUUCUCAAAGCUUUGAUGGUUUAGCCGAAGUCCAUAUGAGUCUUUGUGUUUGUAUCUUCUAACAAGGAAACACUACUUAGGCUUUUAGGAUAAGAUUGCGGUUUAAGUUCUUAUACUCAAUCAUACAUAUGACAUCAAGUCAUAUUCGACUCCAAACCACUAACCAAGCUUCUUCUUGCUUCUCAAAGCUUUGAUGGUUUAGCCGAAGUCCAUAUGAGUCUUUGUCUUUGUAUCUUCUAACAAGGAAACACUACUUAGGCUUUUAGGAUAAGAUUGCGGUUUAAGUUCUUAUACUCAAUCAUACACAUGACAUCAAGUUAUAUUCGACUCCAAAACACUAACCAAGCUUCUUCUUGCUUCUCAAAGCUUUGAUGGUUCGCCAAAAGUCCAUA